ensembl:lncRNA
UGUAAGGGGACCCUGCUACACCCUUUCCUACCAUACAACUGAUGGACACUGACUGUAAAAAUGGCGAUCAUAGGAGGAGGGUUCAGUGUGGUGACAGAAGAUGGAAUAGACGUGUGCCAGUGCACCAGCCUGGAUGAAGCCUUCAUAACAGCCUUCUGGAUGUAUUUUGCUUUCAACAUUGCAUAUCCACCACACCUGAGAAAGACACUGACUUUCCUUCAGAGGCACAGUCAACAUUAGAAGAGGGAGACAAGCACUGCCAAAAACAUGCACAGGCAGGAAGUCUGUCAGUCCAGAUGUGAGGAAGACAGAGUGAGUUUGAGCUCAGCAGGUGUGAUGGCUGUGGAUGCAUCUACAAAAACACCACUGGAUACUGUAGCCAUGGAAAGAAGGGGGUCUUCACAGCUUUCUAUUCAGACAAAGAGUUUGCUGGAUUCUGUUCUAUGGACUGCUACUACAGAAUGAAUGAAUAAGUGGUUUAUCUAUCUAUCUAUCUAUCUAUCUAUCUAUCUAUAUAUUUUUACUUAAAUUGGCGACUGAAACUGAAAGCUAAAUAAAUGUUUUAGUGGAUAAAGCUGUGUCUGUUUGCUUAAUUGGUUAAUGUCACUUAACAUAAGGUUACUAAACUUUUCUGACUAAUUUUUAAAUUUUAUAAUUUAGUGGUUUUGUCAACUAUAUAUUUUUCUUUAUCAGGCAAAACAUAACCUAAACUUGCGUUGGUGAUGACGUCAGUAACCCACACCAUACAGAAGAUUUGAAGCCAUCUUUCGCAUUACCUUUUGGCACGCCCCCUACCUUUCGUUUCACCAAUGAGAAACCUUUUGGCACGCCCCCCACCUUUCGGCACGCCCCCACCUUUUGGCACGCCCAUUGCUCCAGGCUGCAGUUACC